rnacentral:rRNA from 1 species
GACGAAGGAUGCAAGCGUUAUCCGGAUUCAUUGGGUUUAAAGGGAGCGUAGGCGGCCCUGUAAGUCAGUGGUGAAAUCUCGCAGCUUAACUGCGAAAUUGCCAUUGAUACUGCAGGGCUUGAGUACAGUUGCUGUGGGCGGAAUAUGACAUGUAGUGUGAAAUACAUAGAGAUAUCAUAGAACACCGAUUGCGAAGGCAGCUCACAAAACUGUAACUGACGCUGAGGCUCGAAAGUGCGGGAUCAAACAGG